CGACGGGACACGCCCCCCCAACGGGGCGCGCCCAUCUGUAAGGAUGGAGACA
rfam:Bosea sp. Root381 contig_11, whole genome shotgun sequence.